UACGGAAGGCAGCAGUGGGGAAUAUUGCACAAUGGGCGCAAGCCUGAUGCAGCCAUGCCGCGUGUAUGAAAAAGGCCUUCGGGUUGUAAAGUACUUUCAGUCGUGAGGAAGGUGUUAAGGUUAAUAACCUUAGCAAUUGACGUUAGCGACAGAAGAAGCACCGGCUAACUCCGUGCCAGCAGCCGCGGUAAUACGGAGGGUGCGAGCGUUAAUCGGAAUUACUGGGCGUAAAGGGCACGCAGGCGGUUAAUUAAGUUGGAUGUGAAAUCCCCGGGCUUAACCUGGGAAUGGCAUUCAAGACUGGUUAGCUAGAGUCUUGUAGAGGGGGUAGAAUUCCAUGUGUAGCGGUGAAAUGCGUAGAGAUGUGGAGGAAUACCGGUGGCGAAGGCGGCCCCUGGACAAAGACUGACGCUCAUGUGCGAAAGCGUGGGGAGCGAAACAGGGAUUAGAUACC
rnacentral:rRNA from 1 species